CCUACGGGAGGCAGCAGUGGGGAAUAUUGCACAAUGGGCGCAAGCCUGAUGCAGCCAUGCCGCGUGUGUGAGGAAGGCCUUCGGGUUGUAAAGCACUUUCAGCGGGGAGGAAGGCGUUAAGGUUAAUAACCUUGUCGAUUGACGUUACCCGCAGAAGAAGCACCGGCUAACUCCGUGCCAGCAGCCGCGGUAAUACGGAGGGUGCAAGCGUUAAUCGGAAUUACUCGGCGUAAAGCGCACGCAGGCGGUCUGCCAAGUCGGAUGUGAAAUCCCCGGGCUCAACCUGGGAACUGCAUUCGAAACUGGCAGGCUAGAGUCUUGUAGAGGGGGGUAGAAUUCCAGGUGUAGCGGUGAAAUGCGUAGAGAUCUGGAGGAAUACCGGUGGCGAAGGCGGCCCCCUGGACAAAGACUGACGCUCAGGUGCGAAAGCGUGGGGAGCAAACAGGAUUAGAUACCCGGGUAGUC
rnacentral:rRNA from 1 species